GAUGAACGCUGGCGGCGUGCCUAAUACAUGCAAGUCGAGCGAACAGACGAGGAGCUUGCUCCUCUGACGUUAGCGGCGGACGGGUGAGUAACACGUGGAUAACCUACCUAUAAGACUGGGAUAACUUCGGGAAACCGGAGCUAAUACCGGAUAAUAUAUUGAACCGCAUGGUUCAAUAGUGAAAGACGGUUUUGCUGUCACUAAUAGAUGGUUCCGCGCCGCAUUAGCUAGUUGGUAAGGUAACGGCUUACCAAGGCAACGAUGCGUAGCCGACCUGAGAGGGUGAUCGGCCACACUGGAACUGAGACACGGUCCAGACUCCUACGGGAGGCAGCAGUAGGGAAUCUUCCGCAAUGGGCGAAAGCCUGACGGAGCAACGCCGCGUGAGUGAUGAAGGUCUUCGGAUCGUAAAACUCUGUUAUUAGGGAAGAACAAAUGUGUAAGUAACUAUGCACGUCUUGACGGUACCUAAUCAGAAAGCCACGGCUAACUACGUG
rnacentral:rRNA from 1 species